AGAGCCCUGCCACCCCAGCUUGAGCGUGGUCUUUGGAGCGUUGCCCUGUGAAAAGGGGUGACUUUGCCAUGCUCCUUCCCAGUCUACCUCCUGUUAGUUACAGUUUCUCAUUCCUCUUGAGUAGCAGGCCCUGUUUCUCCACCUAAUCCCUGCAAGUAAACCGUCCCCCAAAUCAAAAUGAGUUCCAUCUGGAACUUUGUAGGAUUGGUCCUAAGAAGAUCCCGCCGAAUCUCUUCACCACUUCCUAGCAGAGCACAGUAAAACCGGGGACUAAGCAAAGUGGCUGACAUGUAGUAAGUGCUCAAGAAAUGGAUGUUGACUAGAUGCUACCUCUCAUCUUUGCCUGUCUGAACUCUCAAGCACCGGAUGCAAGUAGACUGAGAGCCUCCGCCAACCAGCACAGUCUCACUCUCUUACCCAAUCUGGAGUGCAGUGGUGUGAUCUCGGCUCACUGCAACCUCUGCCUCAUGGGUUCAAGCAAUUCUCCUGCCUCAGCCUCCCAAGUAGCUGGGAUUACAGGUACGUGCCACCACACCCAGCUAAUUUUCAUACUGUCAGCAGAGACGAGGUUUCACCAUGUUGGCCAGGCUGGUCUUGAACUCCUGACCUCAAGUGAUCUGCCUGCCUCGGCCUCCCAAAGUGCUGUGAUUACAGGCAUGAGCCACUGUGCCUGGCCAUCUUUCAUAUUUUUUAAACACUGUUGGUAACAGAUAAAUCUAUAUAAUCAUUUUGUAAGGUAAUUCGAUAACACAUUGCAGAUUUUUUCUAAGUGCACAACCAAGUGUUUCUACAAUUAAAACUUUUUUAA
rnacentral:lncRNA from 1 species